AAUUCUCAAAACCUUUCUUUGAAAGGAUUUUGGACUUGGAGGCCUUUUGCUGGUUUCAACUCGAAGCGAGCUCCUCCCAAACGAAUUAGUGGGGUCUGCUUUGCCGAUCCUUGACGUGAUAAGAUGUUUCUACGUCUCGGGUUUGGCACUGUAUCCGCUUCUAACCGUCUCAUUGACAACGAUGGCGUUCCGGUCACCACCGUUUCAUCGGUGGUGGCUUGACCCACCAAAAAA
rnacentral:misc_RNA from 1 species